UCAAAUCACAUGUGCGCCAGGAUCUCAAAUUCACACACAUGGAUCGACAUCAUCAAUGGUACAAAACACAGUGUUCAAACGAAUUACAUAAAUGAGAGUAAAUGUACCAUUAUUACAAGCCAAAAGUUUAUCAAAGUGCGAAGGGAAAACAUAAGCUAAACUGUUCCAUAAAUAAAAGAGGAAACUAAACGCCGACGCAGCAGGACCACCUUGCCACAGGAAGGUCGACGGCAGAACCACACAAGCCUAACAACCGGGAGACUCAGGGUAGUCCUCAGGGAAAUCACAAUUGUACUCCUGAUCGUCCGAGCAACCUUUAAUGAUUAUAGCAAGGGUGAGCUCAUGUCGAACUCAGCAAGCACAGACGGAAAGUAAUGACAUGCAAGGCUUAAAACAAGGUAAAGCUGACUUGGUUUGACUGCAGUAGCAUUUUAGUUGAUCACUUUUAAUUAUGACUAUUAUUAGAACAACCUACUACUAUUCAUGAGUAGCAUAAACCCAACCCUUAUUGGUGUAAGUAGUAAUUAGCAUCUUUUAAAUGACUAUCCUAAUAAUUAUAGAAGUCCAGGGAUUAACCCCAAUUAUUAACACAGGAUAGCAAUCCUGCCAACACGGAAUAGCCAUUCCGCCAAAACACGAGGUAGCAACCUCGCCAAGGUCCAUCUCCAAGUAACCAGUGAAUCCAAUUUGCUCAUCAAGUGAGGGUCUGGGCCGCUCGUGACCGUGAGCACGGCUGAUAUAUCAGUUUUACACUCUGCAGAGGUGUGCACGUUCACUCCAAGUCGUGAUUCCCAUUUGCCCGGGGUCGCGACUCCCCAAAACACUUCCAAGGUGAGCAGGCAGGGUCUCACUACGAGACCUUUCACAGGGUCCAACUAAUAGGAUGCCACUCGCAAGUUUUUGCCGGGGCGCUCGGCAGUCGAUACCCAUAGCCAUGGCGUACCGAUCAACCGACAACUUAAUAUUCAUUACCCAAGUUACUUCCUCACGCCUACCCGGAAAGUAACACCCUACUAGUGGAGGUCCUGCUAAUUAGUCAAGCCAGAGCCAUAUAGCUUGGAGCUGCACUGUAAGUCCCAGGGGGCCGCUCCCUGACUAAGUCCUUACGGAGAGCAGAGACGGGUACGCCCGGCAAACCGGACCACCAACGGUACCCGCUCCCCCUGUCACCACCAUCAUCACGAUGCUCAUAAGCAUCCAUCGCCAUCACCACAGUGACCAAAGAUUCAGCACAAUUUAAGCAUCAAGUUGAGUAGAGACUAAUACUUGUUUAGGCAUGUGUAUAAGAUGAGUAGAGCAGCUAAGCAAAUCUAGUAUAGCCUAGUCUACCCAAAUACAUGACCCCAGGUGAGCAAGGAAUAAUAAGUAAAGCUAGUCAUGUCCUUAGGGUUUGCAUUCAUUGGGCACAUGCAUAUAAAGCAAAUGACAUUAAUGAGUAGGUUCAAAAUGAUCAAACGGUGUCUGCACUUGCCUUGAUCGAAGUCGGGUUGCUCGAACUCAGCAGGAUCCUGAACCUCUUCCUUCACGAACGUCUCGUUGGCUAUAUGCGACAAUCAUCAAUCAUAGGAACAAUACAUGCAAGCAAACAAACUUAAUCAGAAA
rnacentral:lncRNA from 1 species